AUGGUCACCGUGCCCGUUGCGGCUGCCGGCCUUAUCGCGAUGGUGCGCUUGGGGGCGGAGGAGCUGGCCAGCCGACUCUCUGUGCUCAACCCAGUGCACCUGUAUUUGGCCUGUUUCUUCCCGGCCGCAGCGGCCAUCGUCUACCUAAUGCUGCGUCCGCGCGCGGUGUACCUCGUCGACUACGCCGGCUUCCGUACCCCGUCUAACUGCCGGGUACCCUUCGCCACAUUUCUGGAGCACGCCAGACAACUGCCCGAGUUCAACGAGCGCAGCAUCCGGUUCAUGACGCGGUUGCUGGAGCGCUCAGGGCUCGGGAACGAGACUUGCCUGCCCCCGACACACCACUACAUCGGGACGCACAAAUAUUGCACCGUUGACGCAGCGCGCGCCGAGUUCGAGCUCGUGGCUUUCUCAGCCAUCGACGACCUGCUCGCCAAGACCGGUAUCGGCCCGGACGCCAUCGACAUACUCAUCGUCAACUGCAGCUUGUUUUGUCCCACUCCGUCUUUGGUCGACAUAAUCAUAAACAAGUACAAGCUGCGGAGCGACGUCCGCAGCAUGCACCUCUCCGGCAUGGGAUGUAGCGCGGGGAUGAUCUCCGUGAUGCUCCUGCCUAACUGCCUCUUCCGCAUAGGCGGAGCGGCCGCGCUGCUGUCGACAUCGUCGGCAAAGGCCCGGUUCCGCCUAAAGCAUGUCGUGCGCACCCUCACCGCCGCGGACGACAGUUCGUUCCGGUGUGUGUUCCCGGAGGAGGACGGAGAGGGCCACCGGGGGAUCAACCUCAGCAAGGAUCUGAUGAACAUCGCCGGCAACUCGCUCAAGGCCAACAUCACUGCAAUGGGCCCACUCGUCCUGCCGGCCAGGGAGCAGCUCAUGUUCGCCUUCUCCUUCAUCGCACGGAAGGUGAUCGGCAAGAGAGUGAAGCCGUACGUCCCGGACUUCCGCACUGCCUUUGAGCACUUCUGCAUCCACGCCGGUGGCCGCGCGGUCAUCGACGAGCUGCAGAAGAGCCUUAGCCUUUCCGACGAGCAGGUGGAGGCAUCACGCAUGACGCUGCACCGGUUUGGAAACACGUCGAGCAGCUCGUUGUGGUACGAGCUGGCCUACAUAGAGGCCAAGGGCCGCAUGCGCAAGGGCGACCGCGUGUGGAUGAUCGGCUUCGGAUCCGGAUUCAAGUGCAAUAGUGCGGCGUGGGAGUGCAUCGAGCCUGCGCGCAACGCGCAUGGACCGUGGGCAACGUCCAUCCACAGAUAUCCGGUGGAUGUUACUGAUGUUUUCAAGCAUUAA
rnacentral:rRNA from 1 species